rnacentral:tRNA from 1 species
GUCUCGUUCGUCUAGCGGCCUAGGACACCGCCCUUUCACGGCGGUAACACGGGUUCGACUCCCGUACGAGACACCA